AAAUUCUCAAGAAUUUCCUAAUUUCCGAGAGUUUAGCCCCUCCGGCCGCUGUUUUGGCUCACGAUGGCCACCAACGAGGAUAAUUCGUGGAGGACGCCAGCCUUCCGCCAAAGCGUCGUCGCCAAAAUGGAUAAAGCAAUCCGGCUCUCAGGAAUGCCGACCACCAGGAACAGCAUCGAAAUGGAGUCGCACGUCUUCCAGAAGGUUAAAAACAAGGAGGAAUAUUUGGGCUGUAUGGCUAGACUUAUUCUGC